rnacentral:ncRNA from 1 species
ACCCCCUCGCAAGAGGAGGUUAAAACUGUGUGUUAAUAGUUGCUGUCCUUUUUGGCCUGGGCACAAUGGUUAGUGAAUC